UGAGGAACAUGACCUUCGGCGGGGGAUAGCCGGCCCAACGGCCGGGUAAUACCGCGUACGACCACUUUGGGACAUCCCUCGGUGGUGAAAGCAGCAAUGCGCCGAUGGAGUGCCUCGCGGCCUAUCAGCUAGUUGGUGAGGUAACGGCUCACCAAGGCAACGACGGGUAGCUGGUCUGAGAGGAUGGCCAGCCACAUUGGAACUGAGACACGGCCCAGACUCCUACGGGAGCAG
rnacentral:rRNA from 1 species